GUUAGGGGAGGAAGGCCUCUUUGGGGUUACCAUAAUAACUUGGCUGCCUUGUAGCUCAUUGCCUAUUCUGCCUGUUUUACCCAAGGUUGUGUGUGUGUGUGUGUGUGUGUGUGUGUGUGUGUGUGUGUGUGUGUGUGUGUGUGUGUGUGUGUGUGUGUGUGUGUGUGUGUGUGUGUGUGUGUGACCCUUCUCCUGCUUCUUCGCCAUUUUACGAAACACUCCCUGAUACAUCAAAGACCACGGGACCCUUGCACCCUCUGGAGACACAGAGACAGUCAGGCAAGGAAGGGGAAAGCAGAGACGCUCAGGAUGUUGUGUUUGCAGAGGACAGGAGGUGCUAGCUGUGGAGGACACGAGACAAGAAGCAGAGGAGAGCAAAGCAAAGAGAGGCCUAAAGACUGACCUGACACAGGGAGGGAUCCUGAGGAUUAGGACCAGAGAGUUCCUGAUGGGGUCAGUGUUCCUUCGGUUAAGGACAGCACCUCCAUCACCCCAGCUCUGACUCACUAUGAGUCUCACCACUGGCCAAACCAUCAUAUUUGGCCUGGAGGCAUCUGCCCCUGUCCUGUCUGUAGUAGCCUCUCUAAUGAUAUCCUUUUUAAAACUCAAAUUAUAUACUAUACGGUGAUUUCUUGUGCUAUUAGUUGCUGGUUUGUCCUCUGCUUGCCUUGUGAAGUGUCUCAAAAACAACUAAAUAUAACCAAACUGCUCUGACUCCUUACCUUGACCUUCAGGCCUGUGUCCCUGUUGUAGGUACGACUUUACGCCUGGAAACACUCGAGUGGUGUGAGGGCCUGUGUUUGCAAGUGUCCUUUUAUUCCACUAUUCCAUUGUGUCCACGGAGGCCUUGUUAGUGUAAGAAAACCUCCUGCCAUGGGUUACCUAUAUUUAGAAUGACCGACUCGACAGCCAUACCAGCCUCACACACAGUGUGUCUGUACAUGUCAUGGAUGCGGGUUCAGUGCUGUUAGGUCAACAAACAAUCAUGAGACAUGUCAUGCUAUGUUAUGUUUUUUUAAAUAUACGGAUCUAUCCAUAUUUUGUUCAUAAACACCACAUUUGAUACAGGAAUAUUGUUGCAUUGUCAUGUUAUGGCACAGUUUAUUCUGAUAUGU
rnacentral:lncRNA from 1 species